AGCCCUGCAGACCUCCACAGACUUGCUGGUUUGGAUGCAUGUGCCGACAUUUGUUGACACUGCUUAUUUAGAAUGUAAUGUGAAAAUGUAAAUGAGUUUGUUAAAGAGUCUAUAUACAUUUUUUAAAUGCAAUUAUUUAUAUACCUUAUUGCCUAGUAAGAUAUAUGACUUAAUAUAUCCCCACAAUGGAAUUUACUUGGGUUUUUAGGGAACUCAUACAUUUCCUUAAGCAUCAUUGAAGCUAUAGAAUUUAAUGUUCAACCUUAACAUGUGAUAACUAUGCAACAGAACAGAUGAACAGGAAUGACAUUUAUUCUCAAGGUUGGCUAUAACUAUCUGAAUGCCACACCCCUACUAAACUGCAACUCGUCUUCUGAUCUCACCCGCUGGGUCGUAUCUCAACAACCCAGCACCGAUAGAUGGAUUAUCUGACAACAUCACCAAAACGAUGCCCAUGCUUCCAUGGGGCAGAAGUCCGUGUGUUGUUGGAAAUCUGGAUGGCCAGAUUGCUAGGAAGAAUGACAAGAAACUGCCAUGUUGGGAAUCGUGACGUCAAACAUGUGAUUUUGUCUCUCUCUGGGCUAAUCUGCCCAUCUGCCUUGAAGCUGUGGUGUGAACACAUGCAUACGAGCACGCAAUGUGCAGUGUGAACAGGACCAGGUGUUGGGCUAACUGCACUGAACCAGCUCACUGCACUGAAACACAUGCAUACUAUACUCUGAUGCAGUAUACACACUUUACAGCACAUCUAUACACACAGCAAAUUGGCCAGUGUUACCUAGUGUUGAUUUUUAGGAUUGUUUUUAACAUCUAUGUUUUUGCAUGUUCAUUGAUUGACUGAUUAAACUUAUUCUAUAUAAAGAUAAAUAACAUACAUUUUUCUAAACUAAUCCAAUCAGUGAGUUAGAUGUAUUGCACCCAUUACUGAAAUGGUGUUGACAGUCAUUCUGAAUGCAGGUUGCCUGUGAAUAUACAUUCCAGCUGUUGGAUAUCCUAACUCUGACUGGAUUACAAAAGGAACUACACAUCACUUGGCAAGCCAGCAAAAUGUGACUUGCAGGCCUGAUGUGGCCUGUAAACCAGGAAGUUCAUAACAUCAUUAUGGUAAAACUUGGCCAUAAAAGUGAGAACUUGAUAUAUUUAAUCUAUUGUCAUAAAAGUUUAAUUUUAACAGGUAACAUUCAUCUACAGGAGCAAAAAAUUAACAAUUAAAACAACCAUGUCUCUGUCACUAACAAAUACAGUCAUGGGCAGUAACUCUACGGUUUACACAAAAACGAAAGGCACAGUGGGAAAUGUUAUUGAGGCGUGGCUUCGAGUGGGCAUGACUUUCAACACAUUAUUUUUGAUCUACCUGUGAGCGGAAGUGUUGUACCAGUUUAAGUGGGCCAUGAUUACGUAAUUGGCUCCAAGUUUGGAUGUUUUUGGAAGUACUUAAGAGCAUGCUGCAAUGAAGAUGUGUAAAUAUUAUUGUAAUGUCCUAAACCCAACACUGAGUGACCUUCUUUGAGUAAUA